rnacentral:rRNA from 1 species
GGUGGCGGAGCUACCAUGCAGUCGAGCGGAACGAUGGAAGCUUGCUUCCAGGCGUCGAGCGGCGGACGGGUGAGUAAUGCAUAGGAAUCUGCCCGAUAGUGGGGGAUAACCUGGGGAAACCCAGGCUAAUACCGCAUACGUCCUACGGGAGAAAGCAGGGGAUCUUCGGACCUUGCGCUAUCGGAUGAGCCUAUGUCGGAUUAGCUAGUUGGUGAGGUAACGGCUCACCAAGGCCGCGAUCCGUAGCUGGUCUGAGAGGAUGAUCAGCCACAUCGGGACUGAGACACGGCCCGAACUCCUACGGGAGGCAGCAGUGGGGAAUAUUGGACAAUGGGCGAAAGCCUGAUCCAGCCAUGCCGCGUGUGUGAAGAAGGCUUUCGGGUUGUAAAGCACUUUCAGUGGGGAAGAAAUCCUCGGGGCCAAUACCCUCGAGGGAGGACAUCACCCACAGAAGAAGCACCGGCUAACUCCGUGCCAGCAGCCGCGGUAAUACGGAGGGUGCGAGCGUUAAUCGGAAUUACUGGGCGUAAAGCGCGCGUAGGCGGCGUGAUAAGCCGGUUGUGAAAGCCCCGGGCUCAACCUGGGAACGGCAUCCGGAACUGUCAGGCUAGAGUGCAGGAGAGGAAGGUAGAAUUCCCGGUGUAGCGGUGAAAUGCGUAGAGAUCGGGAGGAAUACCAGUGGCGAAGGCGGCCUUCUGGACUGACACUGACGCUGAGGUGCGAAAGCGUGGGUAGCAAACAGGAUUAGAUACCCUGGUAGUCCACGCCGUAAACGAUGUCGACUAGCCGUUGGGGUCCUUGUGACCUUUGUGGCGCAGUUAACGCGAUAAGUCGACCGCCUGGGGAGUACGGCCGCAAGGUUAAAACUCAAAUGAAUUGACGGGGGCCCGCACAAGCGGUGGAGCAUGUGGUUUAAUUCGAUGCAACGCGAAGAACCUUACCUACUCUUGACAUCGUGCGAACUUUCCAGAGAUGGAUUGGUGCCUUCGGGAACGCACAGACAGGUGCUGCAUGGCCGUCGUCAGCUCGUGUUGUGAAAUGUUGGGUUAAGUCCCGUAACGAGCGCAACCCUUGUCCCUAUUUGCCAGCGAUUCGGUCGGGAACUCUAGGGAGACUGCCGGUGACAAACCGGAGGAAGGUGGGGACGACGUCAGGUCAUCAUGGCCCUUACGAGUAGGGCUACACACGUGCUACAAUGGCCGGUACAAAGGGUUGCGAAGCCGCGAGGUGGAGCUAAUCCCGAAAAGCCGGUCUCAGUCCGGAUCGGAGUCUGCAACUCGACUCCGUGAAGUCGGAAUCGCUAGUAAUCGUGAAUCAGAAUGUCACGGUGAAUACGUUCCCGGGCCUUGUACACACCGCCCGUCACACCAUGGGAGUGGACUGCACCAGAAGUGGUUAGCCUAACUUCGGAGGGCGAUCACCACGGUGUUACGC